rnacentral:misc_RNA from 1 species
GAUGAAGAACGCAGCGAAAUGCGAUAAGUAAUGUGAAUUGCAGAAUUCAGUGAAUCAUCGAAUCUUUGAACGCACAUUGCGCCCGCCAGUAUUCUGGCGGGCAUGCCUGUUCGAGCGCCAUUUCAACCAUCAAGCCCCCCGGCUUGUGUUGGGGACCUGCGGCUGCCGCAGGCCCUGAAAAGCAGUGGCGGGCUCGCUGUCACACCGAGCGUAGUAGAUCUCAUCUCGCUCAGGGCGUGCUGCGGGUUCCGGCCGUUAAACCACCUUCAUAACCCAAGGUUGACCUCGGAUCAGGUAGGAAGACCCGCUGAACUUAAGCAUAUCAAUAACGGAGGA